GAUGAACGCUGGCGGCGUGCUUAACACAUGCAAGUCGAACGAAGCACCUUGAUUCGAUUCUUCGGAUGAAGAUCUUGGUGACUGAGUGGCGGACGGGUGAGUAACGCGUGGGUAACCUGCCUCAUACAGGGGGAUAACAGUUAGAAAUGACUGCUAAUACCGCAUAAGACCACAGCACCGCAUGGUGCAGGGGUAAAAACUCCGGUGGUAUGAGAUGGACCCGCGUCUGAUUAGGUAGUUGGUGGGGUAACGGCCUACCAAGCCGACGAUCAGUAGCCGACCUGAGAGGGUGACCGGCCACAUUGGGACUGAGACACGGCCCAAACUCCUACGGGGGGCAGCAGUGGGGAAUAUUGCACAAUGGGGGAAAACCUGAUGCAGCGACGCCGCGUGAGCGAUGAAGUAUUUCGGUAUGUAAAGCUCUAUCAGCAGGGAAGAAAAUGACGGUACCUGACUAAGAAGCACCGGCUAAAUACGUG
rnacentral:rRNA from 1 species